rnacentral:rRNA from 1 species
AAAAACAUCGCCUCCUGCAAAACUUUUAACGUAUUGGAGGUCUUACCUGCCCAGUGACAUUCGUGUUAAACGGCCGCGGUAUUUUGACCGUGCUAAGGUAGCGCAAUCACUUGUUUUUUAAAUGAAGACCUGUAUGAAUGGUGAAACGAGGGCUUAACUGUCUCCCCCCCCCAGUCAAUGAAACUGAUCUGUCCGUGCAGAAGCGGACAUAAAACUACAAGACGAGAAGACCCUAUGGAGCUUUAGACACAAAGUCAAUUGUUAACACCCCAAAUUAAAUGGUAUAAAACAAAACAUCAUCUGACCACAGUCUUCGGUUGGGGCGACCAUGGGGAAAAGCAAAACCCCCACGUGGAAUAGACCAUUCUCUUGAGCCAAGAGAAAUAUCUCUAAGUCACAGAACUUCUGACCAUAAAGAUCCGGCCAACAAGCCGAUCAACAAACCAAGUUACCCUAGGGAUAACAGCGCAAUCCCCUUCAAGAGUCCAUAUCGACAAGGGGGUUUACGACCUCGAUGUUGGAUCAGGACAUCCUAAUGGCGCAGCAACUAUUAAGGGUUCGUUUGUUCAACGAUUAAAGUCCUACGUGAUCUGAG